rnacentral:rRNA from 1 species
GACGAACGCUGGCGGCGUGCUUAACACAUGCAAGUCGAACGGAAAGGCCCUGCUUUUGUGGGGUGCUCGAGUGGCGAACGGGUGAGUAACACGUGAGUAACCUGCCCUUGACUUUGGGAUAACUUCAGGAAACUGGGGCUAAUACCGGAUAGGAGCUCCUGCUGCAUGGUGGGGGUUGGAAAGUUUCGGCGGUUGGGGAUGGACUCGCGGCUUAUCAGCUUGUUGGGGGGGUAGUGGCUUACCAAGGCUUUGACGGGUAGCCGGCCUGAGAGGGUGACCGGCCACAUUGGGACUGAGGUACGGCCCAGACUCCUACGGGAGGCAGCAGGGGGGAAUAUUGCACAAUGGGCGGAAGCCUGUGGCAGCAACGCCGCGUGCGGGAUGACGGCCUUCGGGUUGUAAACCGCUUUCGCCUGUGACGAAGCGUGAGUGACGGUAAUGGGUAAAGAAGCACCGGCUAACUACGUG